AGCAGCCGCGGUAAUUCCAGCUCCAAUAGCGUAUAUUAAAGUUGUUGCAGUUAAAAGCUCGUAGUUGAAUUUCGGGAUUGACGUAACGGUCGUGCCUUAAGGGGUAUGAACUAUUAUUGUCAAUUUCUCACCUUCUGGAAAAAUAUGAUGUCCUUAAUUGGGUGUCUUAUGGAUCCAGGACUUUUACCUUGAAAAAUUAGAGUGUUAAAGCAAGCUUAUUGCUCGAAUACAUUAGCAUGGAAUAAUAAAAUAGGACGGCUUGGUUCUAUUUUGUUGGUUUCUAGGAUCACCGUAAUGAUUAAUAGGGAUAGUUGGGGGCAUUAGUAUUCAAUUGUCAGAGGUGAAAUUCUUGGAUUUAUUGAAGACUAACUACUGCGAAAAGCAUUUGCCAAGGAUGUUUUCAUUAAUCAAGAACGAAGUUAGGGGAUCGAAGACGAUCAGAUACCGUCGUAGUCUUAACCAUAAAACUAUGCCGACUAGGAAUCAGACGAUGUUAAUUUUUAAUGACUCGUUUGGCAUC
rnacentral:rRNA from 1 species